CGAUGCAUCUCUGUGCCUCCGCGUCUGCUCCCCUGCCGCAAUGCAUCAUCAUUCACUACUUAAGGAGCAGCCUGGCCGGCGAAAACUGCGUUCCCCCCGCGGUGGAUGGUGAUGGAUGAUCGGUGAGCUCCGUCCAACUUUGACAAAGGACGCGUCCAACUUGGGACGUCCCAGGAACAAGUGAUUUAGCCCGCUCGUCAUAAAAAAUCCCCAUCAAUUAGCUGUCCUGGAGACAGAAACAUUGACGCCGAUGGAGCAUGAAGAGAUGCAUGCUCGUAAUUACACCGAGGGAGCAGGAAGAGGAACACAUGCAUUCGAGAACGUAGGCAAGUUAGAGACAUACUACUGGCUGCUAAGAAAAUUAUCCCGUGACCAAAUCGCCAGGAAUGUGCCCGAUUCUGGAAGAUCUCAGAAGGUAAGCAGGUUUGAGCCUGAUUAGUUGCUUGGAGGGGUAAGCACCAUGCAUGACACAGGUGCACAAGGCAUCGCACUGACCAGCGUGGUGAAGUAUGGGCAAAUAACCAUCACGGCCUGCACAGCGUGCGGGGAGGCCCUCAUCCUGCUUGUUGUCUUCAGUUUAGUUUAUUGACCUUCCCCACGCACCUCCGAUUAGCACGGCUGGCCACGUACGGGUCGAAAGAAGUUCCACAUGCAUACAAUUAUAUCCAACAGUGGAUUAACAAAACUGGGCUGGUGUGCGUGCACAUUUUCAGUAACUUUACCGAUGUGCGUGGAAACCAGAUGCUUGUCGGCUUCCAAAAGGAGGGGGGGGGGAAGCCCAGUAAUUAUUUAUAGGUGAUCUUUUAUCAUCGUAAUGUAGCCA